ensembl:lncRNA
AACAGCAGUGAUGCAGCAGCAGAUGUCUCUCUGAUAAAAGAUAUAUUCUUCUGUUAUUUCAUGCCAAAGAGGCCAUCGUCUUUUCACAAAUAAUUACGCUGUGGGACUGAAGAUAUCAAAUUUAACAGAUUGGGACAUCACAACCCCUUUUCUGAAGAUACAUCACGUUACCGACUGGAUACAGACAACUGAGUGUGUGAGUAACAGCAACAGGUUCUAGAAGGAUUUCUACAACCACACUGGAUGAACCUGUUCCAAAUGUUCCUGACCACUCACAUGGCAAAACAAUGCCAGGGUCAGGUCACUUGGCUUCACACUCCAUUUUAAGAUUAACCAUCGACAGCGACAUGAGAGGAGAAUCCACCUCUCAUGUCGUCCUGAGGGAAUACACAUACUACAUGUCAGAGUACCACAGGCCAGUUGACUGGAAAGGUCACAUGGUUCCAACACAGUGGAGUUUAUCUUGAAUUAGUGAAGUGUUGGAAAAUCACUAAUCCACUACACACCUACACUGACUUGUUAGGACAACCAGGCAAUUUGCUGGGUCCACAUCACACUGACUGCAAUAACUGAUAUUGGAACUUGACAUCACUGAUACAAGACAAAGAACACAGAAGACUAGAACUAAAGGACAUUUGAUACAAAUCUAGCUUCAUUCCUAACAAUCAAUAGUUCCUAAAUUGACUGGUGUUUUGAUAUUAAAUCAGGUAGAG